UUCUAGUUAGGCAACUCCAACUCCAACCGAACGUUACCUCUCUCUCUCUCUCUCUCUCAUCGUUGCAUAUAUAAACUUGCGAUUUUUCAGAGAGAAGAAGAAGAAGCAGAAGAAGAAGGAAAUACCCGUCUCCACCUCCCACAAAUUUUUCAUCACAAUUGAGAACACUGUGUUAAAAGACAAAGUACAAAGGAAAGAAGGUCAUCACCAUCAUCCAUGGCUAUGCUGCCUGAAAGAUCGAAGCCACUGCACAACUUCUCCAUGCCAUGCUUGAAAUGGGGUAACCAAAGAUUCCUUAGAUGCGUCAAAGUCCCCGCCGACGAUCCCAACGACAUCGACGCCGUUCGCCAGAAGCUCAUGAUCGAUCUCAGGGUCGCCGCCGACAACCUUAAAGUUUCAAUCUUUGAGCAACCCAAUCACAAUCAUAGACCCUGGAAUUUGAGGACCCGAAGAGCUGCGUGCAAGGAACCGAAUCACACCAACCAGGUUGAUUCUGUGGUUGAUGAGAAAGAGAAGGAGAAGAAGAAGAAGAAGCUGAAGAUGGAAGAGAGAGCUAAGUUUUCUGUUUCACUGUCGAAAGAGGAGGUGGAACAAGAUUUCUGGGCUAUGCUUGGGACCAAACCUCCCCGGAGGCCCAAGAAGCGGCCAAGGAUUGUGCAGAAGCAAUUGGAUACACUUUUUCCUGGUUUGUGGCUCACCGAGGUCACUGCAGAAUCUUACAAAGUGCCUGAUGUUCCUGAAUGAGGGGCCUGGAUUGAUGGCAUGGGAAAUUGGCAAUACUGGUUGACUUCUUACUUUCAUGGUGUUACAUAAAUAAUGGAAAGCUAUGGAUUGUGGGGCCAUUAUUGUGGUGAAUUACGAGAGUCUUUUCCACGAGGGAACUGGUAAGAUUCGCAGACACUGUUUUGCUGGUGUAUGUUGUUUGAAGUUCAUUCAGAAUAUACCUGCUGCAACUCAAGAACUUACUCCAGUGAUGUAAAUCAGAUAGAAUUGCUAUAUAAACUUUCUGUUGGUGCUGAAAGAAUAACAGUAAGAAGAAGCAUAUUUUACUUUUUCUUCUAUUCUUGUCUUUGGAACUUUUUAAAUGUUGAUUGCAUCUGUUACUAGAGAAUAACUAAACAAACAGCUGAGCCAGAAGUCUUUCGUAAGUGCAGGGGUAUUAUAACCGCCAUCUCCAUAGCAUUGUGUGACUGUUGAAGAAAAAAUAGUAGCAAAUAGUUAAGAAUUUUCUUGGACCUGGAUUCUCUUCCAUUGAAAAAUGGUGCAGUUUAAUGUAAAGUAUUGGUACUUUGGGGUUUGAACAUGUCCAAUGUAGUUCAAUAUGAGCCAUUCGAUGAAGAUCAAAUGGUACACGCUUUCAACUGAACCACUACACCAUGUUUGGACUGGAGAGAAUCCUAAUGCAGACUCUCUCACCAUAAACCUGUUCAAUGUCUCUGACCCUCACCAAAACUCUGCUAGAAUUGGUCUAAGCUCAUGUCAUUACAGAUUUGCAAUUGCAUGUAUAAUAUGCAUGUGAUACAUAGAUAAGUACUGUGAUUAAUAAGUAGAUGAAAGUAGCAGACACAACCAAUUGCAGACUUAAGGCGUGCUUAUUAGUAGCGAAAAUGAAAGGAGCAAUUUGGAAUAAGUGAAAAAUGAUAAUGCAAUUACUUAGACACAUUAAAUAAAUCUAUCCCAUUAAUGUGCUGGAAUUU